rnacentral:lncRNA from 1 species
GAGCCGACGCCUACAGCAGUGUGAUUUUAUGGGAGGUUGCCACGGAACUAGUUCCUUGUAGGGACGGAAUGAAUCCAAUGCAAGUAAGCUCUUCUAGCACGAGGAGUCCUGCAAGCCGGAUGAUCUGCGACCGAAGCGAUUGCCUCCAAAGAUCUCCAGCUGGUCGCAAGUCUGGUGGAACUCCUCUUCGACUAAGUUGCAGCAUGGACAAUGACGCAUGGGCGAUGCAAGACGACGGAACAGUGUGACUUUCAAUUCCUUCCAUCAGCGUUCUGGAUCUUAAACUGUGGACAAGCAAGUUAGUAGGACAUGAAAUUUACCUCAAGAGCAGUGAAUUUUGGUAGAGCAUUUGGACUCUUUCAUGGAAUGGACUCUUUCAAUUCCUCGUUAAAUCACAAGAGCCUGUGAU